UAUCAAUAUUAAUAAUGCAUUUGAUUUAAAACAGGGUUAAGCCAUUUUUGAUUUUUUUUUGAAAAUAUAUGUAUGUAUAUAUAUAUCUUGCAUAUUUUGAUUAUUAUUGUAAGUACAAGUCAGUAGUGAUAGAUUUACCAGCUGAAAUUGAGGACUGAGUGGCUUCUUUAUCGACUGAGUGCUCUGUCAUACUGGUGUCGAAGUCAUAGAUGUUUUUUUAUUAAGGCUAUACAUCCCCAGAGUGCUCAAAAAUGGCGGUUUGAAGGAUUUACAACUAAAAUUUUGUAAACAACCGACACAAUAUUUGUAUUUCGCAAUAGAAAUAAUUGUGAGGUUAAGCAGAUUUUUUUCAAGCACCGCCAUGGAAAAGGAAUUUUAAAAACUCCAAUAUCCUUAUGUCUACCUUUUAUGCUUAUUAAUAAGAAGAAUGUUUAGUGAAGGAGUGCAUUGUCUAGUGUGGUAGAGACAUUGCCUGACUAAGGAGGACUUGUAUCUAUUUUGUAGGGAUUGAGGGGUUUUGUUGAUUUGUACUUAUCAUUCCAUGAUCUCAUGUUAUAAGAAUGUAAAUAUUUUGACAGCUUUUAGAAAUAGUAUUUGCUUCUGUAGAAAUUUAAUUUCCAUGC
rnacentral:lncRNA from 1 species